rnacentral:rRNA from 1 species
AUAGCUAGGAGACCCUGCCAGCCACACCCCCAAGGGGCCCUAGCAGCGACAGCCAUUAAGCCAACGAGCGUAAACCCGACUUAGUUAUGGUUAAAAGGGCCGGUAAAACUCGUGCCAGCUACCGCGGUUAUACGAGAGGCCCAAGUUGAUAGGCUCCGGCGUAAAGCGUGGUUAAGGAGUAAUAGAUACUAAAGCCGAACGCUUACUAAGCUGUUAUACGCUUACGAAAGUAAGAAGCACACCCACGAAAGUGGCUUUAUUUUACCUGAACCCACGAAAGCCAAGAUACAAACUGGGAUUAGAUACCCCACUAUGCUUCGCCCUAAACAUUGAUAGUUUUACACAACCACUAUCCGCCUGGAGACUACGAGCAACAGCUUAAAACCCAAAGGACUUGGCGGUGCUUUAGACCCACCUAGAGGAGCCUGUUCUAAAAAACCAA